AAUUCGGUCUAUUUGGGCUGGGCAUCUCUAUCAAAACAAAAAUCGAAAGUAUUCGUAUAAAUAUGAAUAUAGUAAUUUCUCGCUCUUUCUUCAGUUUCUGAGUCAGAAUCAUUGUGUAGGAGAGAUGGCCGAGUGGUUCAAGGCGUACCAUUGGAACUGCUAUGUAGGCUUUUGUUUACCAAGGGUUCGAAUCUCUCUCUUUCCGUACUUUUGCCUAAUUUGCCAACAUUCCUAAUUGUAACAAAUCAACCAAUAAGAAAUACCAUUAAAUUAAGUAGUAUAACAUAACAGUUUGGUCCUUCUUUUAUUUUGAUUUAUAUAUAUAUUUGAUUUUUUAUUGCUGCGGUACGUAAAAUACUGGAAAGCAAAGUACGGACAAGGAAUGAAAAUCUUUCUGCCGAUCCAUGAUACAUGAAUAGGUGGCAUUUUAAGUCCCCCGUCAAAUCCCGGGCUCAACCUCGGACAGGCGGUGAAAACUGACAAGCUAGAGUACGGUAGGGGCAGAGGGAAUUUCUAGUGGAGCGGUUAAAUGCGUAGAGAUCGGAAAGAACACCAACGACGAAAGCACUCUGCUGGACUGAUACUGACACUCAGAGACGAAAGCUAGGGGAGCGAAUGGGAUUAGGUACCCUAGUAGUCCUAGCCGUAAAUGAUGGAUACUAGGCGCUGUGCGUAUCAACCCGUGCAGUGUUGUAGCUAACGCGUUAAGUAUCCCGCCUGGGGAGUACGUUCGCAAGAAUGAAACUCAAAGGAAUUGACGGGGGCUCGCAUAAGCGGUGGAGCAUGUGGUUUAAUUCGAUGCAAAUCAAAGAACCUUACCAGGGCUUGGCAUACCGCGAAUCCUCUUGAAGAGAGGGGUGCCUUCGGGAACGACACAAGUGGUGCAUGGCUGUCGUCAGUUCGUGCCAUAAGGUAUUGGGUUAAGUCCCACAAUGAGCACAAUCCUCGUGUUUAGUUGCCAACAUUGAGUUUGGAACCCUGAACAGACUGCUAGUGUUAAGUCGGAGGAAGGCGAGGAUGACGUC
rnacentral:rRNA from 1 species